rnacentral:rRNA from 1 species
GACGAACGCUGGCGGCGUGCUUAACACAUGCAAGUCGAGCGAGACCCCGCUUUCGGGUGGGUGUUCUAGCGGCGAACGGGUGAGUAACACGUGGGCAAUCUGCCCUCAGCUCUGGGAUAACUCCAAGAAAUUGGGGCUAAUACCGGAUAUGACCGCUGACCGCAUGGUCUGGUGGUGGAAAGAUUUAUCGGCUGGGGAUGGGCCCGCGGCCUAUCAGCUUGUUGGUGGGGUAGUGGCCUACCAAGGCGACGACGGGUAGCCGGCCUGAGAGGGUGACCGGCACACUGGGACUGAGACACGGAGCAGACUCCUACGGGAGGCAGCAGUGGGGAAUAUUGCGCAAUGGGCGAAAGCCUGACGCAGCGACGCCGCGUGGGGGAUGACGGCCUUCGGGUUGUAAACCUCUUUCAGCAGGGACGAAGCGAAAGUGACGGUACCUGCAGAAGAAGCACCGGCCAACUACGUGCCAGCCGCCGCCGUAA